AUCUAUGGUGAUCAUUGCAGCAGCGAUUGGCACAGCAGGUGCACUAGAGUGUUACACGUGCUCCAGUGUAAAUGCAAUAUACCGAUGCAACAAUACCCAGACAUGUACCACAGACCAGUCUUGUUUCCAAGAUAAGAGAACAAAUACUGAUGGAAUUCUUCUGAUGCUUGGAUGCAUUGAUAAUUAG